GAAUUAGUAACUUAAUUGGUAAAGGAUUUCCCUGUCACGGAAAUAGAUAAGGGUUCGAGACCCUUCUGAUUCGC
rnacentral:tRNA from 1 species